rnacentral:rRNA from 1 species
GACGAACGCUGGCGGCGUGCUUAACACAUGCAAGUCGAACGGAAAGGCCCUGCUUUUGUGGGGUGCUCGAGUGGCGAACGGGUGAGUAACACGUGAGUAACCUGCCCUUGACUUUGGGAUAACUUCAGGAAACUGGGGCUAAUACCGGAUAGGAGCUCCUGCUGCAUGGUGGGGGUUGGAAAGUUUCGGCGGUUGGGGAUGGACUCGCGGCUUAUCAGCUUGUUUGUGUGGUAGUGGCUUACCAAGGCUUUGAAGGGUAGCCGGCCUGAGAGGGUGACCGGCCACAUUGGGACUGAGAUACGGCGCAGACUCCUACGGGAGGCAGCAGUGGAGAAUAUUGCACAAUGGGCGGAAGCCUGAUGCAGCAACGCCGCGUGCGGGAUGACGGCCUUCGGGUUGUAAACCGCUUUCGACUGUGACGAAGCGUGAGUGACGGUAAUGGGUAAAGAAGCACCGGCUAACUACGUG